UUUCCGUAGGUGAACCUGCGGAAGGAUCAUUGCACACACAAGUUGCAGCCAACCCACGGCGAACGAACACAUUGUCCCCCUCGGUGGGUCGUGGCGCCUCGCGGCAUCGCGGCCGGCCAUCUCCCGAAGUCACGAGCGUCAAACCUCGCGGCGUCGGGGGUACCCUUUCUUUCACGAUGCAUCCACCCGAAAUGACUGAGUCCCUUAUGAGUGAGAAGUGCGAGCUCCGGCCUCCUUCGCGGGGGGUCGGCGCUGGUAACCUCGCGAGUUGAAAUAACCAAAAACAACUCUCAGCAACGGAUAUCUUGGCUCUU
rnacentral:misc_RNA from 1 species